AUUGAACGCUAGCGGGAUGCUUUACACAUGCAAGUCGAACGGAGUGGCGGACGGGUGAGUAAUAUAUCGGAACGUGCCCAGUAGCGGGGGAUAACUAAUCGGAAGAGUGGCUAAUACCGCAUACUGUUGGAGCGGACGAUAUCGGAUUAGCUAGUUGGUGGGGUAAAGUCUCACCAAGGCAACGAUCCGUAGCUGGUUUGAGAGGACGAACAGCCACACUGGGACUGAGACACGGCCCAGACGCCUACGGGAGGCAGCAGUGGGUAAUUUUGGACAAUGGGGGAGACCCUGAUCCAGCCAUCCCGCGUGUAUGAUGAAGGCCUUCGGGUUGUAAAGUACUUUUGGCAGAGAAGCGGUAUCUGCAGAAUAAGCACCGGCUAACUACGUGCCAGCAGCCGCGGUAAUUC
rnacentral:rRNA from 1 species